UCCCCGUUAUCCUGGGCAGUCCCUCCAGAGUUCCCGGCAUAACCCGAUGGCAACUGGAGGCAAGGGUUGCGCUCGUUGCGGGACUUAACCCAACAUCUCACGACACGAGCUGACGACAACCAUGCACCACCUGCGCAGGACCCUUGCGGACCCCAUAUCUCUAUGGGAUUUCCCUGCAUGUCAAGCCUUGGUAAGGUUCUUCGCGUUGCAUCGAAUUAAUCCGCAUGCUCCGCCGCUUGUGCGGGGCCCCGUCAAUUCCUUUGAGUUUUAGCCUUGCGGCCGUACUCCCCAGGCGGGGCGCUUAAUGCGUUUGCUGCGGCACGGAACUCGUGGAAUGAGCCCCACACCUAGCGCCCAACGUUUACGGCAUGGACUAC
rnacentral:misc_RNA from 1 species